rnacentral:rRNA from 1 species
GCUUGCUAAUGAAAUUCUUAGUGGCGGACGGGUUAGUAACACGUGAGAAUCCUACCCUUAAGUGGGGAAUAGCCUUUCGAAAGGAAGAUUAAUGCCCCAUGGUCUCUACGGAGUAAAGAUGCCUUCGGGUGUCGCUUAAGGAUGGGCUCGCGGCCUAUCAGCUAGUUGGUGAGGUAAGAGCUCACCAAGGCAACGACGGGUAGCUGGUCUGAGAGGACGAUCAGCAACACUGGAACUGAGACACGGUCCAGACACCUACGGGUGGCAGCAGUCGAGAAUCAUUCACAAUGGACGAAAGUCUGAUGGUGCAACGCCGCGUGGAGGAUGACGGCCCUAGGGUUGUAAACUCCUGUCAUCAGGGAGUAAGACUUAUUCGUUAAUAGCGUGUAAGUUUGAUAGUACCUGAA